rnacentral:rRNA from 1 species
GCAUAAUAAAUCGCCCUUUAAUUGUGGGCUAGUAUGAACGGAUAAACGAAGGCUUAGCUGUCUCAACUAUAUAAGUAAAAAUUGGCCUUUAGGUGAAAAGACCUAAAUAAAAUUAGAGGACAAAAAGACCCCGUAGAGCUUAAUAUUUUUAAAGAACCGAAAUUUAAUAUUUUACCUAAAAACAUUCUAUUAAAAAAUAAUUGGCUGGGGCGGCUAUGGAGCAAAAAACCUCCACAAAUACCAAAAGAAAAGCAAAUCUAACUUAUAAACUGAUCCUUAAUAAGAUCAAAGAAAAUAGCUACCUCGGGGAUAACAGAUUAAUCCCUUUUGAGAGUUCACAUUGACAAAGGAUUUUGAUACCUCGAUGUUGGCUUAGGGUCUCCAGAGGGUCAGCAGCAGCCCUCUAAGGUAGGUUUGUUCAACCUUUAAAACCCU